AACUCGUUAUGAUCCAAAGAUACGUCGUUUCGGUGAAAAAAAACCUCCCUCGGCCCUCUUUACAAGGAGACUGCGCAGCCACCCACUUUUUCACAAAUCACAGUUGCCCGCUGGCUACCCGUUCCUCUCAGCUCAAGCCCCUCCGAUUCCCUCACUGUCAUGGCCUCUCAACCUCGCCGUAGCACCGAAGGACAGAUUCCCUCGCCUUUUAACCUCGCAUCUCAAGCUCGCCAGUGCUCAUUCUUCCUGCACAUCCUUCCCGUUGCACAGUAGAUCAAAGGAACAGGAGGGCUUUCGAGAGAAAAUUCAAAUUCAAAUUCAAAUUCAAUCGAGGCUCAUAUAGGGAGAAAGAAGAGGACCGAAUUCAUCACCAUUUAUGGACGCUCAUCACACAUCUCUAGGUCCACAAAUGUUAGAAGAGAACAGACAAAAAAUAGCACUAGAGAGAUUAAGCAAAGAAUCUUCUGGUCUGGAUCUCACCAAACCUCCUAUCCCUAUCGAUAAUGUAGGAAUGAGAAAGUUAGAAAGCGGAAAUCGACUCUCAGAGAUGGAUGUUAGUGGGUUAGUCUCUUAGCUAAAAGAUUUGCAAAAAAGGAAUGUAUAUUUGGAGAAAAGCAACAAGAUUUUAUCUGAGAAGCUUCAAAUAAAGGAUGCUGAUAAUGAUUUGCUAUUGAAGUCGUUAAAUGAUCUGGAAUGCUGAAAAACUUUGGCAAUUAUUGUCAAAAUAUUGUCGCACUGAGCCUGGAUGGAGCAAUAGGGGACACUGUUGCAUCUAUUAUUGCUGGAAAUUUUCCUCAACUGAAGAGUAUGGUUCUCCGCUCUGCUUUAUCAAUUGAUGCAUUGUUAAUUAUAUUGGAUGGUCAAAAGAAUCUAAUUUAUCUUGAUACUCGUCACUGUUAUUGGCUAGAAGACAAGAAGUUAACGUGGAGAUUUUUAACUAACAAGAAAAACUUGCAUAAGCAUGUGGAGGAGUGGAAUGAGGAUGAGAUCAACAAGAAGGCUGAAAGUAUCAAGAAACAUCUACAGUGUGCAAGAAAAUACUGCUCCAUUUGCUCAUAUUUAUAUCAGGAGGUGUCUGACGGGUGGAUCAGUGCAUCAUAAACUAAAAAUAAAUGGAAGAACAUUAAAUUAUUAUUAUGAAUGUAUAAAGGAUUUUGUGACUUUUUGGGUAAUUUAUGUAUUUUGGUGUAGGUUAUCGUUUCUUAAAUAUUUUAUUUCUAAUUUUGAUUGUCAGAUGAUGAAAAUGCAGUUUAAUUUAAGAUUAUAUUUCAUCUUUCA